rnacentral:rRNA from 1 species
GAGUUUGAUCCUGGCUCAGAGUGAACGCUGGCGGCAGGCCUAACACAUGCAAGUCGAGCGGCAGCGCGUCCGACCACCCUCGGGUGGUCGGAUGGCGGCGAGCGGCGGACGGGUGAGGAAUGCAUCGGAAUCUGCCUCGUUGUGGGGGAUAACGUAGGGAAACUUACGCUAAUACCGCAUACGACCUACGGGUGAAAGUGGGGGACCUUCGGGCCUCACGCGAUGAGAUGAGCCGAUGCCGGAUUAGCUAGUUGGCGGGGUAAAGGCCCACCAAGGCGACGAUCCGUAGCUGGUCUGAGAGGAUGAUCAGCCACACUGGAACUGAGACACGGUCCAGACUCCUACGGGAGGCAGCAGUGGGGAAUAUUGGACAAUGGGGGCAACCCUGAUCCAGCCAUGCCGCGUGUGUGAAGAAGGCCUUCGGGUUGUAAAGCACUUUUGUUGGGGAAGAAACCGGCCGGGUUAAUACCCUGGUUGAAUGACGGUACCCAAAGAAUAAGCACCGGCUAACUUCGUGCCAGCAGCCGCGGUAAUCCC